GCCUGGCUAGCUCAAUCGGUAGAGCGUGAGACUUUUACGAAUCACUGAUCGAAGUGCUCUUCAUCUCAAGGCUGCGGGUUCGAGCCCCGCGUCGGGCU